AAGGCGAGCCGACCCAGACGCGUCCGCGCGCCGGCAGCUGCGGUCUCGGGCCGUCUCCACCAGUCCGGCCGCGCCCGCCGCUCCGCCCGGGCUCCACCGCCUCCGGCUCGCUGGUGGCCCUGCGGCCUCUUCACCUCUCCGCGGCCGCCAGGUGCGCCCGGAGAGCAGCGCCGACCGCCGGGCGUGCGCGGGGGGUCACACCGAGCGCCGGCUUCCGCGACGCCGGGAAGCCUCUGUCGCCGCCGCUACCUCGGUCACCACCGCCUCAGAUCCCUUCAUGUGGCUGUGAGCCCCGAGGCGGAGCAUGCGGACCAGGCUUCCCCCAGCGCUCGCCGCCCUGGGCGCGGCCCUGCUCCUGUCUUCCAUCGAGGCAGAAGUUGAACCACCUUCAGACUUGAAUUUUAAAAUUAUAGAUGAAAAUACUGUUCAUAUGUCAUGGGCAAUACCACCUGAUCCAAUUGUGGGUUUCAAAAUAACAGUGGACCCUACAACGGAUGGGCCCACUAAAGAAUUUACCCUUUCAGCUAGUACCACUGAAACUUUAUUAACAGAGCUUAUACCUGAAAUAGAGUAUGUGGUGACAAUCACUUCAUAUGAUGAAGUAGAAGAAAGUGUACCAGUUAUAGGCCAAUUAACAAUUCAAACAGGUGGCCCGACAAAGCCAGGGGAGAAGAAACCUGGAAAAACAGAGAUACAAAAAUGUUCUGUCAGUGCCUGGACCGAUUUAGUUUUCCUUGUGGAUGGCUCAUGGAGUGUGGGAAGAAACAAUUUCAAGUACAUCUUAGACUUCAUUGCUGCUCUCGUGUCUGCUUUUGACAUUGGGGAAGAGAAGACAAGGGUUGGAGUUGUUCAGUAUAGCUCUGACACGAGGACGGAAUUUAACUUAAAUCAAUACUACCAACAGGAAGACCUGCUCGCCGCAAUUAAAAAAAUCCCAUACAAAGGUGGCAACACAAUGACAGGGGAAGCCAUUGAUUACUUAAUUAAAAAUACGUUCAAGGAAUCUGCUGGGGCAAGAGUUGGCUUUCCCAAAGUGGCGAUUAUCAUUACAGAUGGCAAAUCCCAGGACGAAGUGGAAAUUCCAGCAAGAGAGCUUCGAAAUAUUGGGGUUGAAGUGUUCUCUUUGGGCAUCAAAGCUGCAGAUGCAAAAGAACUCAAACAAAUUGCCUCCACACCUUCUCUCAAUCAUGUUUUCAAUGUGGCCAACUUCGAUGCCAUUGUGGAUAUUCAGAAUGAGAUCAUCUCCCAGGUGUGCUCAGGUGUGGAUGAACAGCUCGGUGAACUGGUCAGCGGAGAAGAAGUUGUUGAACCUCCUUCAAAUUUGAUUGCCACGGAAGUCUCGUCAAAAUACGUUAAGCUAAGCUGGAGUCCAUCUCCUAGUGCAGUGACUGGCUAUAAAGUUCUCCUCAUACCCAUGACCACGGGAAGCCGGCAGCACGCUCUGAGUGUGGGGCCUCAGACAACCACGCUCAGCGUCCGUGACCUCUCAGCAGACACAGAGUACCAGAUCAGUGUUUCUGCCAUGAAGGGGCUGACAUCCAGUGAACCUGUUUCAAUAAUGGAGAAGACUCAACCAAUGAAAGUUCAAGUGGAAUGCUCACGUGGUGUGGAUAUAAAAGCCGAUAUUGUGUUUUUGGUUGAUGGUUCCUAUAGCAUUGGGAUUGCAAACUUUGUUAAAGUUAGGGCCUUUUUGGAAGUUCUCGUAAAAAGUUUUGAGAUUUCACCAAAUAGGGUACAGAUAAGUCUUGUCCAGUACAGCCGGGAUCCUCAUACCGAAUUCACACUGAAAAAAUUCACCAAAGUUGAAGAUAUAAUUGAAGCAAUAAACACUUUCCCCUACCGAGGAGGGUCUACCAACACUGGGAAAGCAAUGACUUAUGUCAGAGAGAAAAUAUUUGUGCCGAGCAAGGGUUCAAGAAGCAAUGUCCCAAAGGUCAUGAUUCUUAUCACAGAUGGAAAAUCUUCAGAUGCUUUCAGAGACCCAGCUAUAAAACUGAGGAAUUCAGAUGUUGAAAUCUUUGCUGUUGGUGUGAAGGAUGCUGUUCGCUCAGAACUAGAAGCCAUUGCCUCUCCUCCUGCUGAGACCCAUGUGUUCACAGUGGAAGAUUUUGAUGCUUUUCAGAGGAUAUCUUUUGAACUCACACAGUCUAUCUGCCUUAGAAUUGAGCAAGAAUUGGCAGCCAUAAAGAAAAAAGCUUAUGUGCCUCCAAAGGAUAUUAAUUUUUCUGAGGUGACUUCCAACAGUUUGAAAACCAGCUGGUCUCCUGCUGGAGAAAAUGUUUUUUCGUACCACAUCACCUACAAAGAAGCUACUGGGGAUGAUGAAGUGACGUUGGUGGAGCCGGCUUCGAGCACCAGUGUGGUCCUCAGCAACUUGAAACCAGAGACCCUGUACCUUGUCAAUGUGACCGCGGAGUAUGAGGAUGGCUUCAGUAUCCCCUUAGCUGGAGAGGAGACCACCGCAGAAGUGAAAGGAGCACCUCGAAACCUAAAGGUGACAGAUGAGACUACGGAUAGCUUUAAAAUUACCUGGACUCAAGCUCCGGGGAGAGUCUUAAGGUACCGAAUUAUUUAUAGACCUGUUGCUGGUGGAGAAAGCAAAGAAGUUACCACUCCAGCCAAUCAGAGGAGGAGAACGCUGGAGAACCUGACUCCAGACACAAAAUAUGAAGUAUCUGUAAUUCCUGAAUAUUUCUCAGGACCCGGGUCUCCGUUGACUGGAAAUGCAGCCACUGAAGAAGUUAGAGGGAAGCCGAGGGAUUUACGAGUUUCUGACCCUACGACAUCAACGAUGAAACUGGCUUGGACGGGGGCACCAGGAAAGGUGAAACAGUAUCUCAUCACAUACACACCGGUGGCAGGAGGUGACACUCAGGAGGUCACUGUGAAGGGAGACUCAGCAAGUACCGUCCUGAGAGGGUUAAAUGAAGGGACGCCGUACGCCUUGUCUGUGACAGCCUUGUACGCCUCUGGAGCUGGAGAUGCCCUUUUUGGAGAAGGAACAACACUUGAAGAGCGUGGUUCACCUGGAGAUUUGAUUACUAAGGAUAUCACGGACACAUCGAUUGGGGCUUAUUGGACGUCAGCUCCAGGAAUGGUUCGCGGUUACAGGGUCUCUUGGCAAUCACUUUAUGAUGAUAUAGAGGCUGGAGAAAAGAGUCUUCCUGCAGAUGUAAUUCAUACUGUGAUAGAAAAUCUGCAGCCAGAGACCAAAUACAGAGUUUCCGUAUUUGCAACUUACAGCAGUGGAGAAGGGGAACCCCUGAGUGGAGAAGCCAUAACUGAAUUGUCUGAAGACUCGAAAACCUUGAAAGUGGAUGAAGAAACGGAAAACACAAUGAGAGUUACCUGGAAACCGGCCCCUGGGAAGGUUGUCAACUACCGUGUUGUGUAUCGCCCCCGCGGGGGUGGGAGACAGAUGGUUGCUAAAGUGUCACCCACAGUUACCUCAACAGUGCUAAAGCGACUUCAGCCCCAGACCACGUAUGACAUCACCGUUCUCCCAGUUUACAAGACAGGAGAAGGAAAGCUAAGGCAAGGAUCAGGAACAACAGCUUCUCGAUUUAAAUCACCCAGAAACCUCAAAACAUCUGAUCCAACCAUGUCAAGCUUCCGGGUGACUUGGGAGCCCGCACCUGGUGAAGUCAAGGGUUACAAGGUCACGUUUCACCCCACGGGAGAUGACAGAAGGCUAGGGGAGUUAGUGGUUGGACCGUAUGACAACACAGUUGUUCUAGAGGAACUUAGGGCAGGUACCACCUAUAAAGUAAAUGUUUUUGGAAUGUUUGAUGGAGGAGAAAGUUCACCACUUGUUGGACAAGAAAUGACAACUCUCUCUGACACAACUGUUAUGCCAAUUUUAUCCUCUGGGAUGGAGUGUCUCACCCGGGCGGAGGCAGACAUCGUGCUGCUGGUGGACGGAUCCUGGAGCAUCGGCCGGGCCAACUUCAGAACCGUCAGGAGCUUCAUUUCCCGCAUCGUGGAAGUCUUUGAGAUUGGCCCCAAAAGAGUACAGAUUGCCCUCGCUCAGUACAGUGGGGACCCCAGGACAGAGUGGCAGUUAAAUGCUCACAAAGACAAGAAGAGCCUGCUGCAGGCCGUGGCGAACCUGCCUUACAAGGGAGGCAACACCCUCACAGGGAUGGCCUUGAAUUUCAUUCGCCAGCAGAGCUUCAAGGCCCAAGCUGGCAUGAGACCUCGAGCUCGCAAAAUCGGUGUUCUUAUCACUGAUGGAAAAUCCCAGGAUGAUGUUGAGGCACCUUCCAAAAAACUCAAGGAUGAAGGGGUGGAACUGUUCGCUGUUGGAAUUAAAAAUGCUGAUGAAGUUGAGUUAAAGAUGAUUGCAACAGAUCCUGAUGAUAUCCACGCAUACAACGUGGCGGAUUUUGAGUCACUCUCUAGGAUUGUGGAUGACCUCACCAACAACUUGUGUAACAGUGUCAAAGGUCCAGGUGACUUGGAAGCACCUUCCAACCUGGUUCUUUCUGAGCGGACCCAUCGUUCUAUGAGAGUGAGCUGGACCCCUCCUUCUGACAGCGUGGACAGGUACAAGGUGGAAUACUACCCAGUGUCAGGAGGGAAACGGCAAGAAUUUUAUGUGAGCCGAUUGGAAAGGAGCACGGUCCUGAAAGAUCUGAAGCCUGAAACUGAAUACGUUGUCAAUGUAUAUUCUGUAGUGGAAGACGAAUACAGUGAGCCUCUGAAGGGCACAGAAAAAACAUUGCCAGUGCCUGUGGUCAGCCUGAACAUCUACGACGUUGGCUCAACCACCAUGCACGCGCAGUGGCAGCCAGUCGGGGGCGCUACUGGCUACACCGUGACCUACGAACCCGUCAACGCCACGGUUCCGGCCAAGCCCGAAGAGAUGCGCGUGGAGCCUACCGUGAAUGACGUGCAGUUGAGUGACCUCUUCCCCAACACCGAGUAUGCGGUUACAGUCCAGGCGGUCCUGCAUGACCUCACCAGCGAGCCCGUCACAGCAAGGGAAGUCACCUUGCCUCUGCCCAGUCCUCGAGACCUGAAACUCAGAGACGUGACUCACAGCACCAUGAACGUCCUAUGGGAACCUGCGCCUGGAAAAGUGCGUAAAUACAUAGUUCGCUACAAAACCCCAGAAGAGGAAGCCAAAGAGGUAGAGGUGGACAGGUCACGGGCCAGCACGCCGCUUAAAGACCUCUUCUCACAAACCCUGUACACCGUCAGCGUGUCUGCCGUAUACGACGAGGGGGAGUCUCCCCCAGUGACUGCGCAAGAAACCACCCACACUGUGCCAGCCCCAACAAACCUACAGAUUACUGAAGUAACACCAGAGAGUUUCAGAGGGACUUGGGACCAUGGAGCUUCUGAUGUGUCUCUCUAUAGAAUCACCUGGGCGCCUUCAGGAAGCGCAGAUAAGAUGGAGACCAUCCUAAAUGGAGAUGAGAAUACUCUGGUGUUUCAAAACCUGAACCCCAACACUCUCUAUGAAGUUUCUGUUACCGCCAUUUAUCCUGAUGAGUCAGAAAGCGAUGACCUGAUUGGCAGUGAGCGUACACAGCGUUUGAUACCCUUAACAACACAAGCUCCAAAGAGUGGCCCACGAAACCUUCAGGUGUACAAUGCAACAUCUAACAGCUUGACUGUUAAGUGGGAUCCUGCAAGUGGUCGUGUGCAGAAAUACAGAAUCACCUACCAGCCUUCAACAGGGGAAGGCAAUGAACAAACGACCACGAUAGGAGGACGGCAGAACAGUGUGCUCCUGCAGAAGCUGAAGCCUGACACUCCUUACACCAUCACCGUGUCCUCCCUGUAUCCGGAUGGCGAAGGUGGUCGCAUGACAGGAAGAGGCAAGACCAAACCUUUGAAUACCGUGAGGAACCUCAGAGUGUAUGACCCUUCCACCAGCAGUUUGAACGUUCGCUGGGACCACGCCGAGGGCAAUCCUCGCCAGUACAAGCUCUUCUAUGCACCCACAGCAGGGGGGCCGGAGGAACUGGUACCAAUCCCUGGGAAUACCAAUUAUGCCAUUCUUAGGAAUCUGCAGCCAGAUACCCAAUACACCGUUACAGUGGUGCCUGUUUAUUCUGAAGGUGAUGGAGGACGCACAUCAGAUACUGGAAGGACCUUGGUGAGAGGGCUGGCGAGAAAUGUCCAAGUGUACAAUCCAACACCAAACAACCUGGACGUUCGUUGGGACUCGGCACCUGGCCCAGUGCAGCAGUAUCGCAUUGUGUAUUCACCUCAGGAUGGUACAAGACCCUCCGAAUCUAUUGUGGUGCCAGGAAAUACCCACACGGUGCACUUGGAGCAGCUGAUUCCGGACACGCCCUAUUCUGUGAACAUCGUGGCGCUCUACUCGGAUGCAGAAGGGAAUCCCAGCCCUGGCCAGGGCCGCACAUUACCACGAAGUGGACCAAGAAACCUCAGAGUCUUUGGGGAGACCACCAACAGCCUCUCAGUAGCCUGGGAUCACGCUGAUGGGCCAGUUCAACAAUACAGGAUCAUUUAUUCUCCCACUGUUGGUGACCCGAUUGAUGAAUAUACCACUGUCCCAGGCAGAAGAAACAACGUAAUUCUCCAGCCCCUGCAGCCGGAUACCCCCUAUAAAAUUACCAUUAUUCCCGUUUAUGAAGAUGGAGAUGGUUCCCAUUUGACAGGAAAUGGAAGAACUGUGGGAUUACUUCCUCCUCAGAACAUACACAUCUCUGAUGAGUGGUAUACCAGAUUCAGGGUGUCCUGGGAUCCUUCACCCUCUCCUGUUCUUGGAUAUAAAAUUGUGUAUAAGCCAGCAGGUUCCAAUGAGCCCAUGGAAGUCUUUGUUGGAGAAGUGACAUCGUACACGUUACACAAUCUCAACCCCAGCACCACCUAUGACGUGAAUGUCUAUGCUCAGUAUGAUUCUGGACUCAGUGUUCCUCUGACCGACCAAGGCACGACAUUAUAUUUGAAUGUGACAGAUCUGAAAACUUACCAAGUCGGGUGGGAUACAUUCUGUGUCAGAUGGUUGGCUCAUCGAGCAGCUACUUCCUACAGACUAAAACUAAGCCCUGCAGAUGGAACCAGAGGGCAGGAAAUCACAGUGCGUGGAUCAGAAACCAGUCACUGCUUCACCGACCUGUCACCAGAAACUGAUUACAGCGUCACCGUCUUUGUGCAAACACCAAAUCUUGAGGGACCAGGUGUCUCGGUCAAAGAACGUACUACCUUAAAACCAACAGAAGCCCCUACAGAGCCACCCACACCCCCUCCUCCUCCUACAAUUCCACCAGCCCGGGAAGUGUGCAAAGGGGCCAAAGCAGAUAUUGUAUUCUUGACCGAUGCUUCCUGGAGUAUUGGGGAUGAUAAUUUUAACAAAGUUGUAAAAUUCAUCUUCAAUACCGUGGGAGGCUUUGAUGAAAUCAGUCCUGCUGGAAUUCAGGUCUCAUUUGUGCAGUACAGUGAUGAGGUCAAGUCUGAGUUUAAGCUGAACACAUACAACGACAAGGCCCUGGCCCUGGGGGCUCUCCAGAAUAUUCGGUACAGAGGAGGAAACACAAGAACAGGCAAGGCUCUGACCUUUAUCAAGGAGAAGGUGUUGACCUGGGAGAGCGGCAUGAGGAAGAAUGUCCCCAAAGUGCUGGUUGUGGUCACGGAUGGUCGGUCGCAGGAUGAGGUCAAGAAGGCAGCUUUGGUCAUCCAGCAGUCAGGGUUCAGUGUCUUUGUAGUUGGUGUGGCUGAUGUCGACUACAAUGAACUUGCCAACAUAGCCAGCAAACCAAGCGAGCGGCACGUGUUCAUUGUGGAUGACUUCGAAUCUUUUGAGAAGAUAGAGGACAACCUCAUCACAUUUGUGUGUGAAACUGCCACUUCAAGUUGUCCUCUCAUUUAUUUGGACGGCUACACCUCGCCAGGUUUUAAGAUGCUUGAGGCAUACAAUCUGACAGAAAAGAAUUUUGCUUCUGUGCAAGGGGUCUCCCUGGAAUCCGGCUCUUUCCCCAGCCACUCGUCUUACAGGCUCCAGAAGAAUGCCUUUGUGAGCCAGCCCACAGUAGAACUACAUCCCAAUGGACUCCCUCCUUCAUAUACAAUUAUAUUACUGUUCAGACUCCUCCCAGAAACUCCCAGCGACCCUUUUGCAAUUUGGCAAAUCACAGACAGAGACUAUAAACCACAAGUUGGGGUGAUUGCAGAUCCUUCUAGCAAGACAUUAUCAUUCUUUAACAAGGAUACAAGAGGUGAGGUGCAGACUGUUACAUUUGACACAGAUGAAGUGAAGGCAUUAUUUUAUGGAAGUUUCCAUAAGGUUCAUAUCGUAGUGACCUCGAAAAGUGUUAAGCUUUACAUCGACUGCUAUGAGAUUGUAGAGAAGGAUAUCAAGGAAGCUGGAAAUAUCACCACUGAUGGUUAUGAAAUUCUUGGAAAACUGCUUAAAGGGGAGAGGAAGUCAGCCACAUUCCAAAUCCAGAAUUUUGAUAUUGUCUGCAGUCCGGUGUGGACCAGUAGAGACAGAUGCUGUGAUAUUCCCUCCAGAAGAGAUGAAGCAAAAUGCCCAGCUCUUCCGAAUGCUUGCACAUGUACACAGGACAGUGUUGGACCUCCAGGACCCCCCGGCCCUGCAGGAGGACCUGGUGCUAAAGGUCCGAGAGGUGAAAGAGGUGUCAGCGGGGCAGUUGGGCCGCCCGGUCCUCGUGGAGAUACAGGUCCUCCUGGUCCCCAGGGCCCUCCAGGCCCUCAGGGACCCAACGGCCUCUCUAUUCCCGGUGAACAAGGUCGCCAGGGAAUGAAGGGCGAUGCCGGAGAGCCAGGACUUCCAGGCCGGACUGGAACUCCAGGAUUACCUGGCCCACCAGGACCAAUGGGCCCUCCAGGAGACAGAGGCUUUACUGGAAAAGAUGGAGCAAUGGGACCCAGGGGUCCCCCUGGGCCACUGGUAAGAAUGGAAUGGGUGACAGUCAUCUUCCUGUCCUGACCCCCUACCACCACUUGCUAGGAAAAAGCUCAGAAACCUGACCUUUGAGGCAUGUUCCAUCUGUGCUGUGGACUGCACUGUUGAGGGACCUGCUUGUUUUUAUUCUCCUAAAUCAAAAUCAGCUAGAGAAAACAGAUGUGUUAAAAUAAUCUUUCUGUUUAAUCAAAUUAUAUUUGAAAAACAGAAAAAUAUCUCUAACUGGUUAGUGCCCCAGUUCCUUCAUUGUGUACAUUAAGUGGUGGGCUUUAUGAUCUUGCUGGUCAUUUCCUGUUCUAGAAUUUUAAGAGUCUGUAGCUUAUGAUAUUUGAAUUUUAAGGAUAUUAAUUACAGAACAGCUUUAAGUUUUUCAAAGGAUGUAAUUCUUACUGAGUAAGUUUUCUAAUUAAGAUCUUUGGGAAAAUUACUGAGGCCAUUGACUCUGAAAGAAGUAUCUGUAUAUCUGCAUCCAGGUGAGAUCGCAAUUACAUUGUUGGAGGUAAUGGAUGUUCUUCAUGGCUUCUGGCUGGAUAGGAAUGAUUUAUGUUUAAUAUAUAUGUACUCAAGUAGAGUUGAAAAUGUACAGUAAACUUUCAUUUAAAGUAUUUACUACAGAGCUUGACCUUUAUAUGAUUGAUGAAUGGAGGAUUGUUUUAUAGAAAUCUGAUGAUUCCAUUUUAAGGAAAUUUUAGCUUUAGAAGAUAAUCUAUUGACUAGCAAUAUUAUAAAUAUUUUACUAAAAUAUGGAUGUGUGAAAGUCGCUCAGUCGUGUCAGACUCUUUGCGACCCCACAGACUAAACUAUGGCUAAAGUUUCUUAAAGCUGUGCUAAAAGGGAGAAAUUCUUAUGGUUUUGAUGGGGUUGAGGGUGCUGAUAUGAUAGAAGAGAAUUAUGCUUUAUUCGAAUGCACCAAACCAGUAAAAGUGAGUUUCUAGGCUGAGCUACGACUUCCUGGAGAUAAGGGGAACUCCACCACAUGGUGCUCAGAUACCUUCUCAAUUUCUUCCCCAAACAAAGUUUUCGCUCUUGUCUUUUGAUGUGUUUUCUAUUUUGAUAACAGAAAUAAACGAACAGAAAUUGCUUUCUGUAAAUUCACUUGGUAGCCAGUUUACUAGGAUCCCAGUCUGUGAAUGGUGAAACUGAUUAAAAACAGUAUAUGCAUAUAUUUUUCAAAUGGUUUCAAAUGUAAUUUUCAACUAUACACUCCAUAAAGACUGAAUAGGAAUUUUCAAGAUUUUUUUCCUCCAUGUCAUCUUAAAUUUGAUUUUAUUCUUCCUUAAUACGCUGAAACCUUUCAAAACCUUCCGCGCUUUGUUAGCUUACUUUACGUGGGACUCCUCUUUCACGGUAACCUUUUGUUUCUCUGCCUGUGUGUUGCAGGGAAGCCCAGGCUCCCCGGGAGUCACAGGACCAAGUGGGAAGCCAGGAAAGCCAGGAGAUCACGGCAGACCAGGUCCAUCAGGAUUGAAAGGAGAGAAAGGCGAUAGAG